rnacentral:rRNA from 1 species
UACAGAGGCCCCAAGCAUUACCCGGAAUCACUGGGCGUAAAGGGUGUGUAGGUGGUCAUAUUAGUCAGUUGUUAAAUCCCAGGGCUUAACUCUGGAAUCGCAACCGAAACGGUACGACUUGAGAGCGUAAGGGGUGAAUGGAACUCAUGGUGUAGGGGUGAAAUCCGUUGAUAUCAUGGGGAACACCGAAAGCGAAAGCAAUUCACUGGUACGUUUCUGACACUGAAACACGAAAGCGUGGGUAGCGAACGGG